rnacentral:lncRNA from 1 species
AUGGCCACAGAGAAGCACUGCAGUGAGAUCAAGGCACUCAACAGUGAGCCCAAGAAGAAAGACAAAAUGAAGAAAUGCAAAAGUACGGAGCAGCUUGACAACGAUAACACACAGUCGGCAGAUAACAGCAGCGCUGAUGCUUCACCGCAGGAACAGAGUCUGAAGAAGAAACAGGCGGCUACACUGGCCAGCAUCAGAGAACUGAUCAGUCAGGUACACACUGACCCUGUCUUCUGUCCUACAACACACUCCUGUCUGAAUCUGAGUGUGCACAUUACACACAGCCGCUCCGAAGCAUGGGAACUAAGAUUUCUGCAGAAGAAAGUUAUCAUUUAAUUCAGCA